rnacentral:rRNA from 1 species
UGCAACUCGACUCCAUGAAGCUGGAUUCGCUAGUAAUCGCGCAUCAGCCAUGGCGCGGUGAAUACGUUCCCGGGCCCUUGUACACACCGCCCGUCAAGCCAUGGAAGCCGGGAGUGCCUGAAGUGCGUGACCGCAAGGAGCGCCCUAAGGCAAUACCGGUGACUGGGGCUAAGUCGUAACAAGGUAUC